rnacentral:lncRNA from 1 species
GCAGAGCAGAGUGCCGCGGCACCCAGCUCGGGCGGGGCGGCGACGGCUUCUCUCGGGCCGCCGCAGGAUCGAAGUUAAGGCGGCGCCCAUCCCACCACCCCUCGCCCGCCCCGCAUCUCCCGAUCGCCCCCGCGCACCUCCGCGCCGGGCCGCCGGUGCGUAACGCCCUGGGGAAGAAGCGCCCCCGGGCACCCCCAGGGCGCGCCGCCUUGGCCGUGUCGCCCCCACCCAAGGGAGACCCCGGGGGGACGGGGGGAAAAGCCUUGUUCCCCCUAAAUUCCACGACUCCGAUGCCACACACGCAGAACCCAACACAAUGCCACGCGCGAUGGCGUUACAAGAGGAGUUGGGUGGCGUACGGUGUUUGGGGUAGCGAGCCGGUCGGCAGCUCAGCCAUGCGUUCGAACAGGCAGCGGUGCGUGGCGGCGACACACACCGUCAGCCCGGUCUGAAUAAAACCCCAAACACUCGCUGCGUUUACUACUCAGAUCCUUUGUUAUGUCCCAAACAUGCUCUGCUCCUCUCUGGGUUAGGAUUUCGUUACCCCUGCGCCUUUAACUGUAACUACCCUAAAAAGAGGAAAGACUUUCUUCAGCAAAUAAUUUCUUCAGGUAAUUAAAUUGGAUUCCAUCAAGUUCCCCCGAAAAAGUAUAGGUGCUUGAAGGCGUCUCAUCCAAAUGCUACUGUAACUACGUCUAUUCACAUUUUCCCCCAUGGAAACGUGGUCACAAAGCCUAGAGAAAGAAAACAUCAUUAUGCCAACUAUUUUUAAAUGGAGGCGUGAAAACUGUUUAGAGGGAACUGCAAGCUAACAGUUGGGGAAACACUUGUAUCUUUGUUUCUGAGGAUGGCUUUGUGGAUUCCAAACUGUCUUGCUUCACCAGACACCUAUUACUACAUUAUCAUAAAGACUGCAACAGAAACAGCCUAAAUUACACCCUGCACAUGUACACCUUUUCUGCCACAAAAGAGGUAUAUGAAAAAUAAGAAAAUUCAGAAAAAUAUUUACAGAUUAAGAUUUUUUUUAAAUUAAGAAAGUAAAAUUUUCUGUAGAUUAAGAAAAAUACAGUUUCGGUGACGAGAAACACACACCUGACUACCCAUUUUCUUCUUGGCUUGUACUUGUGGAUUCUUCUGGGUGGUUUCCCUCCUUAUCUGGACUUGCCCAUUAGCUUUAUCACUUUUAGUGUUUGAAAAAUCUGUAACUCCCACUUAACUGUUAUUUACACUGAGAUAACCAAAACAAAAUUGAAUCAGAAGUGAUUUGCAAAUAGUUGAGCCAAGCUGUGUUGGGGGGUGGCGCGGGAUUUUAGAGUGGAAAUCCACAGGCUGAGUAUCACACUGUUAAUCUCAGAUGCCUGGUUGGGAAAGGCACAGCACAGAGGCCUCUGAGUUCUUCCAGGGAGCAUGUCUCUUGGCUAGCCUAAAUGCUACCUUUCAUUCCCUCUUUGCCUCCCUCCUUCCUCUUCCUCCCUCCUUUCCUUCCUUCUUCCUUCCUUUCUAGGCUUGAGAGCACAUCCACAUUAUUAAAAACUCCAGAUUUACAUUUCUCCUCUUUAAAGCUCAAUUGUAAAGAAUGACUCCAAGCCUUAAAUAUUUAACAAAGUAAAAGAGCAGUUUGGAUUAUUAACCUUAAGCAGAGAUCCCGGUUUAUGUCAUUGCCAAGAUGCUAAUCUAAGGACAAAGAACGCUAUCUGUAGUGACAGUCCCUGAAUAGAGAGGGCCAUUUAAUAUCACCUCUCCCCACCACUCACCAGGCAUGCCAAACCAUUUUUGCCAGUGCCCAAUGUGGGAGACUCCUGUUUGUGAGAAUAAUGUAGCCAGGGUUUAGGUGAAGGGCACUGUGAAAGGGGGAAAGAAGAGAGAAAAGGUAAACCUAAGCCCACUGGAGAACCAUAAGAAUGACAACCCUGGACUUCUGGUCUUGGGGUCUCAGGGAUGAAGGUCCCCAUCAGGCUGCUUCCAGAGUAGAGAAAAGUAAGAAUCAGUUUUGUUCCUGGCCUGGUUGCCUACACUGUAACUUUUCAUUUUUCAGCGGUGUCCUACAGGGGACGCUCACUUACUUCCUGGGAGUCCUCUGUACCAGGGCUGCAAGACUUCCCACUCCCCUUGAGUGAAGGCCUCAUUUCCUGCAGUUGGACAGAGAGUGAGUCUCAGGUUUCCAUCCCUGGGGACUCAAGCGGCCAGACCAUUUUUCAAUCCUCUAGGGGGCAGCACUCAAUAAAUAAUGGUAACACCACCCAGGGUCACACUUCUGGUGGUGCUUUUAAUUCCAAGGAGUUCAAAGUGCUUUAUCAGACCAGGGAAGAUUCAGAGUGAGGCCGAUCUCUCCCCAGCCUACUCUGAACAAGACCCCACCGGCCCAGAGAGGGCUUAGAAUUGUUUUAACCUAAGACUUCCAAGGACUCUUGGGAACUAAACACAAAUCUCACAUGUGCCACAUGGAAAACAAAUCUUUAGGGAAAUUCUUCACACUGGGACUGGCUCAGACCUGCCAGUCUUGUUUCCCUCUAGACUGGGAUCUCAGGGUUUGACUGCAGUUGGUCUGGUUUCCACCAGAGGUAUAGUGGUAAAGAGCUAGGUAGGCACCGUGCUUUUCAGUAUUUUGUGAGUCCACAUCCCUGGCCCAUAGGGAAGCCUGCCUACCUAAAGGCCAGUGUCAAAAAUCGGGUUUGUGAU